CGUAGGCGGUCUCUUAAGUCGGGUGUGAAAGCCCGGGGCUCAACCCCGGAAGUGCACUCGAAACUAUGGGACUUGAGUAUGGGAGAGGGAAGUGGAAUUCCUGGUGUAGCGGUGAAAUGCGUAGAUAUCAGGAGGAACAUCGGUGGCGAAGGCGACUUCCUGGACCAAUACUGACGCUGAGGCGCGAAGGCGUGGGGAGCAAACA
rnacentral:rRNA from 1 species